rnacentral:misc_RNA from 1 species
UGGUGCGAGCAACAGCCCUGGU